rnacentral:rRNA from 1 species
UAUAAUGCAGUCGAGCGGACAGAUGGGAGCUUGCUCCCUGAUGUUAGCGGCGGACGGGUGAGUAACACGUGGGUAACCUGCCUGUAAGACUGGGAUAACUCCGGGAAACCGGGGCUAAUACCGGAUGGUUGUUUGAACCGCAUGGUUCAGACAUAAAAGGUGGCUUCGGCUACCACUUACAGAUGGACCCGCGGCGCAUUAGCUAGUUGGUGAGGUAACGGCUCACCAAGGCGACGAUGCGUAGCCGACCUGAGAGGGUGAUCGGCCACACUGGGACUGAGACACGGCCCAGACUCCUACGGGAGGCAGCAGUAGGGAAUCUUCCGCAAUGGACGAAAGUCUGACGGAGCAACGCCGCGUGAGUGAUGAAGGUUUUCGGAUCGUAAAGCUCUGUUGUUAGGGAAGAACAAGUGCCGUUCAUCUAGGGCGGCACCUUGACGGUACCUAACCAGAAAGCCACGGCUAACUACGUGCCAGCAGCCGCGGUAAUACGUAGGUGGCAAGCGUUGUCCGGAAUUAUUGGGCGUAAAGGGCUCGCAGGCGGUUUCUUAAGUCUGAUGUGAAAGCCCCCGGCUCAACCGGGGAGGGUCAUUGGAAACUGGGGAACUUGAGUGCAGAAGAGGAGAGUGGAAUUCCACGUGUAGCGGUGAAAUGCGUAGAGAUGUGGAGGAACACCAGUGGCGAAGGCGACUCUCUGGUCUGUAACUGACGCUGAGGAGCGAAAGCGUGGGGAGCGAACAGGAUUAGAUACCCUGGUAGUCCACGCCGUAAACGAUGAGUGCUAAGUGUUAGGGGGUUUCCGCCCCUUAGUGCUGCAGCUAACGCAUUAAGCACUCCGCCUGGGGAGUACGGUCGCAAGACUGAAACUCAAAGGAAUUGACGGGGGCCCGCACAAGCGGUGGAGCAUGUGGUUUAAUUCGAAGCAACGCGAAGAACCUUACCAGGUCUUGACAUCCUCUGACAAUCCUAGAGAUAGGAC